CAGUUUCAAUCUGUUGCGGACAAAUGAAGUGAAUGUGGCUAUCGAUCCCACCGGCGGUCAGAAUCUUACCUUCGCCAGCGAUCGCUUCGGUGCUAGGGCCAAUAAUAAUAUCGAUGUUGUCUUGAAUAUGGGGAUUCCCAGCCUUACCGAUCGCCACAAUCCGACCAUCCUUAAUCCCCACAUCUGCUUUGACUAUGCCCCACCAAUCCAGAAUUAGGGCGUUGGUAAUCACCACGUCAACUGCCCCACCAGCCCGAUCGAUCGUGGAUUGUCCCAUGCCAUCACGA
rnacentral:sRNA from 1 species